rnacentral:rRNA from 1 species
UCGCCUGUUUUAUCAAAAACAUCGCCUCUUGCUAAACCGAAAGUAUAAGAGGUCCCGCCUGCCCUGUGACUAUAUGUUUAACGGCCGCGGUAUUUUGACCGUGCGAAGGUAGCGCAAUCACUUGUCUUUUAAAUGGGGACCUGUAUGAAUGGCAUAACGAGGGCUUAACUGUCUCCUCUUUCAAGUCAAUGAAAUUGAUCUCCCCGUGCAGAAGCGAGGAUAAAUACAUAAGACGAGAAGACCCUAUGGAGCUUUAGACACUAAAGCAGAUCAGUAUUAAUACCCUGAACAUAGACUACGAAUAAACUGACCCCUGCCCUAAUGUCUUUGGUUGGGGCGACCGCGGAGAAAAAUAAAACCCCCGCAAGGACUAAAUGUACUACAUUCACAAACAAGAGCGACAGCUCUAACUAACAGAACUUCUGACCAAUAAGAUCCGGCAAUGCCGAUCAAUGAACCGAGUUACCCUAGGGAUAACAGCGCAAUCUCCUCUUAGAGCCCAUAUCGACGAGGAGGUUUACGACCUCGAUGUUGGAUCAGGACAUCCUAAUGGUGCAGCCGCUAUUAAGGGUUCGUUUGUUCAACGAUUAAAGUCCUACGUGAUCUGAGUUCAGACCGGA